UUUUUUUUUUUUUUUUGGUUGAAAAUUUAACCUUAGGAUGAUAGUUCACUUUAAUAUGGUAUUGGAUUAGGUUCGCUCUCUAAAUACUUACCACAGCUACCCAUAAAUGUUCAUGGUGUUCAUAUUCUGAUCCCCAAAUUGUAGAAAUAGAAUUGCAGAACUGGCUGUCAUAACUUCCCAACCUUGUACCGAUUGAUCAUGUUUAAAGGUUUUCACCCACAGCAUGUUGAUAACCUUAUUAGGUCCAGAUGCCAACUUUCUCUUAUUUUAGUUGCUCUUUUCCUGAUAAUUGAUUCCUCCUUCCCUGAUAGGUAUGCAUAUUCUGAUGAUGUGG
rnacentral:misc_RNA from 1 species